AGCCCAUGGUGAGGGCAUCUUCUCUAGAGGUCCUUGUAUCUCUCCUAUGCAUCAUACAGUGUCUCUAGAUCCAUCUGCAUAAAAGAAGAGAUAUCAUUCCUUAAUUU
rfam:Gossypium hirsutum cultivar TM-1 chromosome 12, whole genome shotgun sequence